UUGUUUAAUUUUUGUCUUAAAGUUUUCCAUCAUGUUGCUUUUUUAUAUAAAAAUUAAAAUCUUUUCAUCCUAAAUAAUGCUUCUGGUAAGGACAUUUCUUUGUUGUACCUGGUAAUUUAUUGUUAAAAUAUGGCUGCAUCAGUACUUUGUAAUUGAGUCUUGUAAGAUAAAUAAUACUUUAGUAUUCAAGCUGAAGUAAGUUAUUGUUGUACCUUCCAAUAUAGUUUUUUUCCAUAGGCUCUUAUUUCCCUUCAUUGACCCAAACCAGUCUUCUUUUCUUUUUCCUCUUGUUGUCAUAUUCCUUUCAAAUAUUUGUUAGAAUCAACCCUUAACAGCCUCUUUAACCAACCCGAUUAUUAUUUUUUUAUCCUGGGUCACUGUGGCUUAUAAGCUUCCCAGUAUUGAAAUAUAAAAAGAACUGGAUUUAUUAAAAUCAAAUGUAAUCCCUUUUUGCAUGUCAUGUCAAGUUUAGAAAGUUAUUAAUGUGGGUAAUCUUGCCAGCCAGCGGUUCUUC
rnacentral:lncRNA from 1 species